CUGGUCUCUUGCCAGGAGGUGACAAGGGGUUUAGGGGCUGAGCCUCUGACCAAACCAGUCUCCCUGGGACCCUGGCAUGCUCUCCCUUCUCAUCUGACAACCUGAUUGGGGUUGAGGAGGCAUGGUGAGCACCACAGGGCAGGGGACCCCUGCCCACUCGUGGAGGCCACAGGGAGAUCAGGAUGCCACGCUUGGACAGUGGAUUUCCCUGUCCUCGGGAGGGAAUUUCAGAGUAGCUGACCGCCUGCUGGGAGCCAGACUCCUGACUGCUGUGGUCUCUUUCAGCCUUCUCCUCCCUAAAGCACUCAGACAGGCAUCCUCACCUCCACCUUACAGAAGCGGAGGGGAUGUCCCUUAGAGAAGUCACAUAGCAUGUCGGUGACACAGGGCGGCCAAGGCACAGCAGUGACCCCAACUCUCCCUGCCUCCCAAGCCUCCGCAUGAGGCUGUAAAACAGUGGCGGAGACACAGACUGUGUCCUGGCUGUGUGUCUGUGUGACUUGCUUCCCACACCACACCUGCCUGGACACCUCUCCUGCCCGGACCCUUCUCCUGCCCGGAUACCUCUCCCCGCUGGAUACCUCUCCCCGCUGGACACCUCUCCACGCCGGACACCUCUCCCGCCCGGACCCUUCUCCCGCCCGAACACCUCUCCCGGCAGGACACGUCUCCCCGCCGGACACCUCUCCCCGCCGGACACGUCUCCCGCCCGGACACCUCUCCCCGCCGGACACGUCUCCCGCCCGGACACCUCUCCCCGCCGGACACGUCUCCCGCCCGGACACCUCUCCCGCCCGGACACCUCUCCCCGCCGGACACCUCUCCUGCCCGGACACCUCUCCCCGCCGGGCACCUCUCCCCGCCGGGCACCUCUCCCCGCCGGACACCUCUCCCCGCCGGACACCUCUCCCGCCCGGACACGUCUCCUGCCCGGACAUCUCUCCCGCCCGGACACGUCUCCCGCCCUCCUCCACAGGGUGAUUUGUCCUCAUCUUGGGACCUCAAGCGUGGCCUCCUCUGACCCUCCAGCUGGGAUGAGACUCCGAGGCUCAGGAAAGGGAGGUGACUUGCCCAAGGUCCACAGCUGGGGAACAGCUGAAAUGGGGCACAAAGCUGGAAGUCUGCUCCUCACCCUGGGGAACGGACACCAGGAAACGGCAUCCGUGAGGCCACCAGGCGGUAGCCUGGGAGGGGCAGUGGAAUUCCUGGGCGACUGCUGAAGAGCAAAUCACACACUGGUGAUGGUGCCUACCGUUUUGUUCCAGAAGCAGAAGAAAAUUCAGAUCCAGGAUCCAGGCAAUAUUUGUCUUACAGAUAUGCUAAAUAAUGACUUUUUUUUUUUUUUUUUUGAGACAGAGUUUCACUCUUGUUGCCCUGACUCUUGU